ensembl:snRNA U6 U6 spliceosomal RNA
GUGCUCACUUCAGCAGCACAUAUACUAAAAUUGGAAUGAAACCGAGAAGAUUAGCAUGGCCCCUGCACAAAGAUAACAUGAAAAUUCAUGAAGCAUUCCGUAUUUUU